UACGGAGGGGGGCUAGCGUUGUUCGGAAUUACUGGGCGUAAAGAGCUCGUAGGCGGUUCGAUAAGUCGGGUGUGAAACCUCCAGGCUCAACCUGGAGACGCCACCCGAUACUGUCGUGACUAGAGUCCAGUAGGGGAGCGUGGAAUUCCUGGUGUAGCGGUGAAAUGCGCAGAUAUCAGGAGGAACACCAGCGGCGAAGGCGGCUCUCUGGGACGGUACUGACGCUGAGACGCGAAAAGCGUGGGGGAGCGAACAGG
rnacentral:rRNA from 1 species